rnacentral:rRNA from 1 species
CGAGUGAUGACUUGGCCUAACGUCGAGUGACCGACCCCUAUCUGCCGCUGGUGCUGCUGCCGCUGCCGUCGCUGCCGUGGUGGGAAGGUAAGGAAAGCAAGCAUAGUUGGGCUUUAGGGAAGUCUUUCCGGGGUUGGUGGUACCGCAGCGCUUACCGGUGCCACCACAAGCGGCCUCGGGAGGGGCAUGGGGGCGCGCGAGGGCGCCGGCGCCGGCCGCCGUGGUUCAAGCAGCACACCUGCUUCGCGGGCUCGAAGGUGUUGCCGUAAGCGACGCCGCGGCGGGCACCGGGCGCGUCGGCGGGCGUGGUGCGAAGGAGGGGUUCGUGCCGACUCCUCCCUCAAGAGCUCGACGAGUUCUCGCGCCAGCGCCGCUAACGAUAGUAGCGGGUCUAAAGGCACCGCGACGGCCGCUUGCGCCAGGAGAUGAGCGGCCUGUGCUUGCACGGGUCCUGCCCCCUCGAGCGCGACGCUUCCCGGUAGGGACGGUUGGGUUCGUACUUCUGGUAUGUCUUGAGCAACCUCCUGUAGAGCAUAGACGACUCCUAUGGUGUCUCCUUCGGCAUACCGAGGUACCUCCCCCUACAGUUCUUCCGGUACGUCUAUCGUUGACUUUUGUUCCUCCGUUACAACCGUUCGUACGGACGUCUUGAGUUCCUUUUCCCGAGCCUCGAUAUAUGGUGAAACGAACUUCCCUUCCCACCAAAUGUUUGAGAGAACUUUAUAUAAUUCCUAUUCCUGUUACUAUCUGAGAGGCAUCGCGAACGAAGAAGAGAACUAUGAUAACGACUUAACCUCGACAACGUCCGAGGUCCGAAUAGGAAAGAGAAUGGAUUUGUCAUAAAUCUCAUAGGUUCCGAUUGUCCUUCUCGUCAACAACUUAAGUGUCAACUCUUUCCACUACCGAGUUGUAAGAAAGGUUGACGACCACCACUUGGGUUUUCACGACGAUGUUAAGUCCAACAUCAACUACCUAUAAGACGGGGUGACUGACGACCUUUGUAACGCUUUGACCAAAACCUACCCCGUAUACUACCACGUUGUGACUUUAGACACUCGGUCCGUUAGUAACAUCUGUCACUCUGACCCUUCUUUCCCAUAUGAGAAGGUAACCUCCAGUACGGACGACCUGUCAAACUUGGCGAUAUGUCUUCGGGCGAUUCAUAAGUCCUACCUCUUAACGGUCAGGAAGGUUACAGACAUAUGCCGAGACAACGGUACAGUGUAUCACUCCUAAGUCUACUUAUGAGCAGUGGUUGGGUCAAGAAGAAGAUAGACAUACUAUUCUCUUUAAGACCAAAUCCUCCUUAUAGAAAGCUCCUCCCUGUUAAAAGUCAAAAACCCAUACGGUGUCUGCCUUCUCUACAGGAAAGUGUCUAAUUCCGACCUCUAUUCUAAGCGAGCCGGUUCGACUAUGUCCCGUCCCUUGCGGAACAUGACGGCCGUCGUCGAAGUCGCGGUCGGGGCCGACUAGGUUGCGGCCGAGGUCGUCUAGGUUGCGACCGAGGCCGUCUCUCGACUAUGUUAGUUGGCCUGCGUGGCGUUUGACCGUCGUAAGAAAGUAACUAGUCCUCUGUUGGUAAAACAUAUGGUUCUAGUACAUUUCAACUUGUUUCUGUUUUGUAUAUACACAUAUAUAUCUCUCUAUUAGCAGCGUGUAAACGUGUACUUUUGUUAAGGCCACAGACACAACCACUAACGUGUUAGGCUUAUCUUACGUAACAGACAAAGAAAACUAGAAAAGAUAAGAUACAAACAGUCCUUCAACGACAGCCGCACGUAGAGAGCGACUCGGUCCGCUCCUACAGCAGGGCCUGCGCGAGCUACAAGAGGAGGCCGAGCGGCUUCUCGUACCUCACCUCGUAGGGCAGCAUGUAGAACUACCAGAACAGGAGCGACCGGCGCCGGAGCAUGUUGCGCGCCGACUGCCGCCCCAGCCAGUGGAGCAGCCGCGACGGCACGUGCUGCUCCUUGCCCUGCCACUGGAGCGGCUCCGCGCGCGGCUCGAGCAGCCACCGCGCGUCGUCGAGGUACUGCCACGGCUCGGACCCGGCCGGCAACAUCGCGUACCCCAACGCGCGCCGCUAGUCCGCGAACCGCCCGUGGAACUGCCUGAAGAGCUACUCCAGCCGGCACCCGUGCUACCCCUCUCAUCCGCGCUUGGCGCUGUGCUCCCACUCCUAGAGGCCGUGGCCGGUCGCGCCGGCCUAGGCCAGCCUCUAGAACGUGUACCCGCGGUGGUCGUGCCGGGGGCGGGUGAG